ACUGCCCCUGGAGGCGUUGCAGGUGUGGCUGCUGUGUCGCAUUUGCGUCCGUGGCGGCAGAGAGAAGCGGGCUACGUCUACGCUCAGUGUUCUCGCCGUGAACGUUUGAAUGAUUAGUAGCCCAACACC
rnacentral:snoRNA from 1 species